UAUAUAUAUAUAUAUAUAUAUAUAUAUAAAUCGGUGACAUAACCAGUUGUUAUGAUAAAUUUGCACAUUGUAUUCUAAUAUAUAUAUGGUUCCACAUCCGUAUAAGAAUCCUUAUUUCCUCCAUGCUCAUCUUAUAAACAUUUUGUCUUUUAACAGGAUAAACUAUGUAUAACGUAAAAUACAGUUCAUCUAAGAACUAUCCUAUGGAAAUGACAUGGGAUCUACCUACCCCGUAGAAUUCAUGUAGCACUUGGAGACGAUAUGAUCAUUUAUGGUGACUCAACUAUUAUCCAUAUUCUUGCACUUUCAGAUUUUGUCCUCUCAUUUAUAUCUUUCCAUUGAGCACUUUUGCACAUGCA
rnacentral:lncRNA from 1 species